GGGCGGGGAGCGGCAACCGACGGGCAGCGUGGCCCGGCCCGGGACCCGGUGGCUGCGGGGGUAGGGGUCGCUUAGCCCGCCCCGAGGAACCCACGGGAAAAGCCUCCGCGUGGGUACCGAGGGAUGCCAGCCCGGGCCGGGGGACGUGGCCAGCACCGCCUCCGCCCCUCGGAGCAGCAUCGGCAUCCACGGGCACGCUUAGGCCAGGACUAGCUCUGCAUAGGAAGACAGCCGUGCACUCGUUCAUGUCCAAAGGCUGUAUUUACAGGAAUGCAGGGAGAGAAACCAACACUCUUCACUUCCAUCUGGGAUUUCGAAAAAACCAGGGAACCCUGGAGCUGGACUGCAGAGCUGUGCUCUCCCUUACACCUGGAGAAGCCACCCUAUUCCAAAGAGGGAACAUUUUGUGUAAGAAGUCGCCCCCAGCCAUGCACAGAACAUGCUCCUGUCCAGACUUGCUCUCUGUGACAUGAUUUUUGCUGAACAAGACUCAGCAAUUGGGCAGCUGCCAGCCCUGUACAAAAGCUGGCUCUGCAGCUACACAGCCCUGGCUCCGUGGCUGAACCACCAGCACAAAGACCCUUUGGGAAACUGAAGCACCUUUAUUCUGCCAGGGUUAGAAGCAAACGUACUUGGAUUGCAGAACUCGUCCCCAGGUGAGGCCAGAACUGUACACGAUUUCACAACAGAGUUAAAACAGUCACAGAGGCAAGUCUAUUGAGGUGGUCUGAGGCCAAGUGUAAGGCCUCCCACCUUCAGCACAGGGAAGUAAAGGAGGAGGGAAUUAACAUGUAAAAGGUACAUGGAAAGCAGAAACAGUCAUAGUCCCAGCCACAGAUGCAGAGCAGCUGCUCAGUGCUUGGGUGAGUAGCAUUAGAAUGGCAAAGAUAAGAUAAAUCCUUUCAAAGAUGGCAAACACACACAUUUGGAUUUCUGAUUAACCUCUGCCACUCCUCAUACCUUUCCAUCAAAUUAGCACGGCAUUCACAUCUGCCUGGAAACACAUCCACCCACUGCUGGGAGGCCACACAAUGAACACUGGCUCUUACAGACUCCCGGAUCAUCAAACCAGCAAGGCCUGAGCACAACCUCAUCCUGCUCAAAAAAUACCACACCACAUGCUUAAUUCACAUCAGGCUCAAUGGGAUUCACAGCAGUGCUUACUUUGCUCAACAGGGAAAGGAUUAUUCAUAUUUAAGCACACGCAGAUUGCGAGUCAUCUUGACUUGACCUCUGAGAAGCUGCUAACACCACUUGUCAGCAGAAAGCCUAAAGGAGAAGCAUCUGUCGAAACCACGACAGCAUCGAAGGAAGAUAAACAACCCCUGAAAUACCAGGGGUGUUUUAAAUCCCAUGACUUAUGUGAAAGUAAAUACUUCACUGGACUUGCAGAGUCAAGAGCAUCUCCUAAGAAAUGGGUCGUCAAAGCAUAAAAGAGCAACUGCUGUUACAGAGAAGACAUCAAAUCUGUAUCUUACUGCUCUCACUUCAGGAAUUUUCAUGGAAACAACCCUCUGAUAAUCUGAACCUAUUUCACUUGCUGGUGGCUGGUGCUUGUUUCUGCUGGCACACAAAGACACAAGAAUUGUGAAAUCCAUAGUCAGGUGCUCCUGCAGCCAAUGUGCCUCAUGGCAUCUCUCCUGGCCCUAAUCAUCAGAAUUAGGAAGAACUACUGAAAAUGAAAGCAACUUUCACUUUUUUGUUUUUUUUUUUAAACACAAACCCCAGUUGCAGACGAGCAUUCUGGAUUCUACGAAGCCCAUAAACAGUGACAACACUCGAUCUGUUCCAACUUACUCCUCCCUUGCCCCUCCCUGAAAUUGCUACUAUUACUUUUAUUUAAUUAGCACCAGGCAGCACACCUUGGUUUCAGAGACCACGAGUGGUCAGUGUGGGGUAGAUAACUUCCUGUUUCAUGUCCCCAGCCCAGGGAAUCUCUUCGUUCCACCAGAUAAACAGCUGUAUUAUCACAAUUGUUACAACUCCUCGACUACUACAAGCCUUUCCAUGCAUUAUUAAUCCCCAUCACGUGGGGGCUUAUGGUGCAAUAAGAAAACUCAUUUCCUCUCAGGUUCUCUGUCAAGACUAAAGAGCUCCUUUAUGCAAACAGAUCCUGCACAUAACUGGCUCCGAGAGAAGUGUUCGCACUGCAGACUUGAGUCAAUGUUUCCCCAGCUUUCAAGAGAGCGCAGCAGGAGCUCCUGUGACUGUCAGAAAGAUGAUGCUGUUCUAACAACUACCACGAUUCCCACUUGAACACACACACAAGAAGAGCUCCUGUUGCUAUUUGAGAUUAUUCCCUGAGAUUACCAGGACUGAGCCUCUCAAGAGCCUCACAGUUACGUUACGUUCACAUUUGCGUGGGCCUGACUCAUCUCAGAAGAGUGAAACACAUGUACAGCAUUUACAGGUUAUCACUCUGCUACCACACCAGGGUUGUGAAUCCCUCACAGCAGGAUGUAUUACUCAACAAAGCUACUCCACUUGCUAGCAGUUUAUCCUAGAUGAGGCCAUGUCGGCACCUCCUAACUGGCAAAAAACAAAGCACCUUCCAAAAGGAGAGCAAUUAGAGAUUUAUUAACGAUCUCCUCCCACCCAAACCCACUCCUGGUUUCCCAGCUGGAUAAGCAGUACUUGGGGAACUUGUGCUCUGCGUAAGAUUGGAGACUUCACUGCUGUGGAAAACAACAUACCAGAAGACUUUGUAAUUCCUUCCUUUCAUAACCACUGGGGGGAAAAGGAGAAACAGAGAUUUUUAGACAAAUUUUGAAGUCUUGAUUAAAACCACAGCAGACCAAAAAAAAAAAAAAAUCUCCUUGAGUCAUUGAACCAUGCAGGAAAAUGCAUGACAAACUCAGAACAUGACUCAGGAUUUUUAAGUUAAAAACAAGAAGGACCUUCACUGACUAUAUUUCAAAUUCAUCUUAAGCUUAAAAGCUGGUGAUUUUAUAGUCUGUUUUAGCUUGGAUGGAAACAGAUGGAUUUUGUUUCCCUCCUGAAGGAUUGCAAAGGCUCCAGACUGAAGGAUGUAGACCGAAACAUAUACCUAUGCUAACAAUUUUGCAGCGCUUUGUUAGUAAAAACAUGAGUCAGGAUCUGUCAUUACCUUUGGAGAGGUGCCCACAGAAAACGCACAGUGUUGAAAAAUGAGAAAGCCAGAGUGGUGACAAACCCUCUGGAGGCUGGAAGCCUGCUGGAGCAAGAGAUGGAGCACAAUAAAGACUCCAGAUCCAUUAAGCUGGACUGGUGCACCUGCAGGUUGCUAUAGCGAGUGCUCAUUCACCGGCAAACCGCAACCCAAUUACACACCGGGGUCACAAAGCACUCUGGUGUCGUUGAGCAUUUUCCAGCCUUAUGUCCUUAUGUGGAAACGAAUGAGACUGAAGCAGUCUUGGGGUACUCUGUAAAGCAGGAAAGGAAAUACAGUCAGUGCAGAGCCAAACCAUUUACAGCAGGACAGGAAGACUGAAGGAAGUUCUGCAC